rnacentral:rRNA from 1 species
GAUCCUACGGGGCGCAGCAGUGGGGAAUAUUGCACAAUGGGGGGAACCCUGAUGCAGCGACGCCGCGUGAGUGAAGAAGUAUUUCGGUACGUAAAGCUCUAUCAGCAGGGAAGAAAAAAGGACGGUACCUGAGUAAGAAGCCCCGGCUAACUACGUGCCAGCAGCCGCGGUAAUACGUAGGGGGCAAGCGUUAUACGGAAUUACUGGGUGUAAAGGGAGCGUAGACGGCAAGGCAAGUCCGGAGUGGAAUGCGGCAGCUCAACUGCCGAACUGCGCUGGAAACGGUAUGAC